CAGCGCAGUAGGGAACCUUCCACAAUGGGACGAAAGUCUGAUGGAGCAACGCCGCGUGAGUGAAGAAGGGUUUCGGCUCGUAAAACUCUGUUGUUAAAGAAGAACAUAUCUGAGAGUAACUGUUCAGGUAUUGACGGUAUUUAACCAGAAAGCCACGGCUAACUACGUGCCAGCAGCCGCGGUAAUACGUAGGUGGCAAGCGUUGUCCGGAUUUAUUGGGCGUAAAGCGAGCGCAGGCGGUUUUUUAAGUCUGAUGUGAAAGCCUUCGGCUCAACCGAAGAAGUGCAUCGGAAACUGGGAAACUUGAGUGCAGAAGAGGACAGUGGAACUCCAUGUGUAGCGGUGAAAUGCGUAGAUAUAUGGAAGAACACCAGUGGCGAAGGCGGCUGUCUGGUCUGUAACUGACGCUGAGGCUCGAAAGUAUGGGUAGCAAACAGGAUUAGAUACCCUGGUAGUCCAUACCGUAAACGAUGAAUGCUAAGUGUUGGAGGGUUUCCGCCCUUCAGUGCUGCAGCUAACGCAUUAAGCAUUCCGCCUGGGGAGUACGGCCGCAAGGCUGAAACUCAAAGGAAUUGACGGGGGCCCGCACAAGCGGUGGAGCAUGUGGUUUAAUUCGAAGCUACGCGAAGAACCUUACCAGGUCUUGACAUACUAUGCAAAUCUAAUAGAUUAGACGUUCCCUUCGGGGACAUGGAUACAGGUGGUGCAUGGUUGUCGUCAGCUCGUGUCGUGAGAUGUUGGGUUAAUUAACGCAACGAGCGCACCCUUAUU
rnacentral:rRNA from 2 species